rnacentral:lncRNA from 1 species
UGCUGCUGAAGAUUUUUGGCUAUGAGGAUGGGUUACAUUACACAGAGGACAGCUCCCCCAUCUUACAGCUUCCUCUACCUACUUUCUCUGUCUUGCCUUUCUAGUCCUUCUUUUCCUCCAGCACUACCACCUUCCCCUGUGGCCCCAACAUUUCUAUCCCUCUGUUUUGUAGAGCCAUUCUGCUGCCCACUCUGGAGCUGGAGAAGGCCAAACUGCACCUGCAGAUCUCAGCCAACCAAGGAGGUCUUUCCCAGAGUCAUGGGACUCAAGUUUGUCCAUUUUGUCUCAAACAUCAUUAGGAAUGGAUGUAACAGAAAAGCAUCUUGUCAGCUCCUGUUUACUACCCAAGCCUGCCACAUUGAGCCUCUACUCAGUGCCGGCACUGGGCCAGGCCUUGCAGCCACAGAGACAGUAAAGCACCACAGUCUAAAGCCAAAAAACAGACACGUAAACAAAUAGUGAUGCAUGAAGGGGAUCGAACUCGGGUCUUUGCGCUUUCAAGGCAAGCGACAGAACCACUGAGCUAAAUCCCCAGCCCCACAUAAUGACUUUUUAAUUCAAAUGGAUUUCAUAUGUGGUGGUGGUCCUAUAAGAUUGUAUUGCCUAAUGUCCUAGCCAUCUUAAUAUGUGUAAAUAUACUCUGUGAUGUUUUCACAUGAUUAAAUUACCUAACGG